GCGACUUGAAAACAUCCUUGCAGACAUUUACUAAGUUUUUAGAUUUUGUUUCUUUAUUUCUUUUCCUAAAAUCUUUUUAAAGUAGUGAAUUUAAAGAUUCAGUUAGUGAAAAGAAUUUUUUUUUUUUUCUGGGUCAAUUUACGUCAAUCUUCUGUUUAACACUGCACUGCUUUGUUAAAUGUCCCGACAACCUUUUCUUCUCAGGGUGAUUUAUUUUUGCUAAAGUUUUUUUUGUUUGUUUGUUUUAUUCAGUUUCUGGAUUAAAUAUAAGCCAAUUUCAUCUUGAAUUAGUUUGGUUUUUUUGGACCAGGUUUCAGCUCCUUUUGUUAAACGUCCAGACGUCUUGGAAUCCUGAAGUUAAAAAGUAAAGAAAGUAUUUUUUCAACAACACUGACCUGUGCAGUGAUAACACACCUGUUCUGUAGUGUAUAUAAAUAACCCUCCUCACUGGGUCGUCAGCCUGUUACAGCCGACAUGCAAAACCAACCACUCUCACAUCCACUAAUAACAUUUUGUCCUCCAGUUACUCUAAACACAAUAUUUGGAAUGUGAUAACAAGAUGGAGGCAAAAAAAACCAAAAAACAAAAAAAACCAGCCUCCCACAUGGAGACAUGAAACACUCCACACAGAAAAGGCCCCCAGGUGAAACAGGACUUGAACCAAGAUAUUUCUCACUGUGCGAACCUGCUGUUAACCAUCAACCGAUCAGGCUGCUGAAGUAAUUGCUAAAUCAUUUUAGUAAACAUACUGUUAAAGGGGGAAAGCAGUGGUGGCAUGUGUGCAUUACUGCCUGGAGGCGGGUGCAAUAAAGUCUGCUUAGCUGUACAGACGUCAACACUGAUGUUCUUAGUGACUGACGGAGGAGAGGAGGCAAGUGGAGAGGAGAGGAGAGGAGAGGAGGGGAGAGGAGAGGAGAGGAGAGAUACUCGUGCUGUAUCCCCAGUGUUGGAAAAUGAUCUCUUUAAAAGAACGUAUUUUUCCGAGGUGUUAACGCAACAGAUAAAUUCACAACAACAUAGCGUUUAUACACAAUCACCGUCCCACACAGAGGACCAGAGGAAGUGAGCGGGUGUAAUUGAAAAGAACCAAGCAGAGAGAAACCUGAUCGCUGCUGCUUGGCCUGAGGGAGGAGGAGAGACAGAAGGUGAGGAAGGAGAGGUGUUAGACAAGGACAUGGGAGGAGAGAAGAAGAGGAGGAGGAAGCAGCUGUACCAGCAGUCGAACACAGGUGUCAGUGUGUGUUAGCACUGAACCUCUGGUGUCAGAGUCUGACAGAAGUCACGGAAUUCUUCAUUUGUUGUUUAAAUAUUAUAAUCCUCAGAAUAUCACCAACAACGACUGGUUUCAGCUCCUGCAGUGUUUGAGUGUUAAACCUUCAGCUGUGUACUACAGUACGUGUGUGUGUUGUACUACAGUAUGUGUGUGUGUGGUACUACAGUACGUGUGUGUGUGUGGUACUACAGUAUGUGUGUGUGUGUUUCCAUGGUCAUCAACACUUCGUGUUCAGUUCUGACUCAGUCGGAGCCGUCACAGCUAAUGUGUUCAGUGACUGACUGUGUUACAGUCGGCCUUAUGUGCUGUGCUGUUGUUUUUCUUCUUCACUGACGGCCUGUUCACUCUACAAGUCUGUGAUGAUUCUGCUGAAGAAAUAACUGUCAUUUCUAAUUGUUGUUUGUGAGAAUGUGCUUAUUUAUUAUUGAAAUUUUCAAAAGGUUUGAGUUCCCUCAGCCUGAAAGUUACCUGGGCAGUCGACUGAUGCUUCAAGAUGCAGGUGUUUUAACGUAAUUGAAAGAGAGUCAGUGACCACCAGUGGACUGGCGAGAAACAAAGUUUUACGCUGAGUUUCUUGAAGAACCAGUUUACCUACAAAGGCCAGGAAAUCCAAGGCAGAAUCUGGAUCUGACUUUCUUUAAAUUAACCCAGUGUGCGAUCGAGUGUGUCUGUGAGCUACUACAUAAAAUCUAUGACAGGAAAUCAUUUCCAGGAGCAGUCGUAGGUUUCAUUAGAGACACUGUGCUGCUGUGACAUAGGAGAGAGAGGGAGAUAAAAGGGGGGAGGGUGAUCCUCCACUCACCAACUCUGACACUGGAGCGCUGACCCAGAAGAGGCCGGUCCAGAGGUCUACUGGUCACGUGACUGGAGUCAUAUCAUGGCGUUCACGUGACAGAUAGGGGGCGUCGUCAUGCGCUGACAUCAUGCGGCUGCAGGUUGACCCACAGGUACCCAGGAGACACCCACCCCAUGGGAUCUCUGACACACAGGCCUGAGGAUUCCCAGGAGACAGAGACCGAGAGAGAGAGAGAGAGAAAUGGUUUUGAAAUAAAAGUCCACUCAUCUCAAUCUGUGAGUAAAAACCAACCACAGUUUAAUGAAGUCAGGCUUCGUCAGCAUCACAGGAGGGUUCACUGUUGGAAACGAAACUCCUGCUUUAGGUUU